ACACCGAGAUGGCAAGCGUUGUUCGGAAUCAUUGGGCGUAAAGCGCGCGUAGGCGGCCUAGCAAGUCGGAUGUGAAAUCCCCUGGCUUACCCAGGGAACUGCAUUCGAUACUACUAGGCUUGAGGACAGGAGGGGAGAGUGGAACUUCUGGUGGAGCGGUGAAAUGCGUAGAUAUCAGAAGGAACACCGGUGGCGAAGGCGACUCUCUGGCCUGUAUCUGACGCUGAGGUGCGAAAGCUAGGGGAGCAAACGGGAUUAGAUACCCCCGUAGUCC
rnacentral:rRNA from 1 species